UCGAGAAGAAGCGAAGAAAAACAUCCCAUUAAUUUAGCGAAUCGAACAAACUAACAUCUGCUAGCUUUUGUUUGAUGCGAUAUCUGUGUAAUAAUGAGGUGCAUUGUACCCGGUUGUUAUAAUGCCCCCGUUAAACUUGACUUGAAAGCACAUUUUCAUAGUUUUCCACGGGAUGCAACUUUGUGCCAGACAUGGCUGGAUGUAAUCAGACACCGCAACAUAACUCCCGCAAACGAGGACUAAGGGCAUGCAGCGACCACUUUGAAGGCACUGACUACCAAGGCGACCGUCUGAAGCCUGGACCGUUUUCCCAUCGUUGGUCGAACCACUAGAGGUCCUUAGAAGGUGCCAGAGUUCCAAUCAUGGAUGUGCCAGAGAAUUUGCAGGUGGACCAGGGGGAGAUUGCAAUCACAAACCAAAUGAAUAUUUCAGCUGAGGCAGAUAGAAGUUCAAGGACAAAGACAUUAUACAGAGAAAAAUGAAGCCCCUCACCAGAUGAUGUUUUAACAUUUACCUGCAUCUGUUAGUGUUCUACAGUGCUGUGGGAGUUUGAUUCCAUUACGCUUUCAUUACAGUCAUACUUAAUGGUUGUGUCACAGUCUAUUAACUGCAUUCAUCUUCACUGUGAUAUAUAACAAGAGAUUGCCAUACAGAACAAAGAAAAAUUAGCCUGACUCACUGCAGUGGCACUACAAUUUAUAUAUUAUUUUCAACACUUAAGCAUGCAGCCAUUUUCAGAUUGUGGUUUUAUAUGAACAGCAGUUGCUGUUGUGUUGAUAAUGGCAUCCUGUAAUGCUUUUUGUAAUCUAAACAACUCAAUUAUCUGUUGGGCUACCAACCAUGAUCAGCAAAAUUACCAUAAGCACAUACAAUUUAAAACCAAGAAAUGGCAUGUGCAGCCCAUGGAAUAAAUCCUGACAGCUGUCAUAGGUUUGCAAUUUGGAGUUACAUUUUUAGAGAAUGGUUUGUGCUGUGCAUAUAAAUAUAAAAUUCAGAGGAGCUGACAUAGCAGUGUGGUUCUCAGCUUGCCAUGGUUAAUAUAUUAAAAAUAUAUUUUAAAAUGUUUUUACUCCUACCACCAUUGCCAUUUACUUUCACAAUUUAUGAGGAUCUAAUCAAUAAACAGCUGAGCAUUUACAUAAAAUGGGAAAUAGGAAAGCCACAGGAAACUCAUUCACAGAUGCAGACAUUCAUUUUUUCUGAAAUUUGCCACAUACUGUAGCAUUUCUCAGCUGACUAAUAGGAACAAUUCACCACAAAGUAUCAUAUUAAUAAAAUACACAGUAGGCAGCCAGGUGGAAUUGGGAGAAAAUGCAUCCCUGUGCCAACAGGACAUAUGUAAAGAGCUAGCAUUUACUUAUGUUAGCACCUAGCUGUUCACUCUGUUAAUAGGGUUGUUCAACCACUCUCCUCCCACUUACUACUAAUAUCACACUGAAAAGUACAAACUAGAACUAUAAAAAUGUUUUAAAUGUAAAUACACAUAUUUGGAAGAACAGUAAUUACAUGAUGCAUUUUAUUGCAAGGUUUCCACCAUGUCCCUUAAAAUACACAAUCCUGGAUAGGUGUUUCAUGCAUUUUUAACGAAUAUUAAAUUGUUUAAUUUACUACCACCCUCAUUUUUCUCUGUUCACAAGGCCCCAUACAGUUUCAACACUGAACAAAGCUUACUUUUCUUUAUACAUAAAAGUAGAAAGAUUCAAAGUGUCUCAGACUUUCAAAUUUAAAUGAUAGAAUUAUGUAUGAUAUGCGUGUGACAGUAAGACUAAAUAUUCAAUUCUGGAAUCUAUUCAGCUGGCUUAUUUGUAGUUUGUUAUUUGGCUGUUUUAGCUUAAGUUGCAAUCAGUUUUUUUUUUUUUUUCCCCAACAACACAAUUUGUUGUUAUUUGAUAUACAAACCAAAAAUAUGUAGAAUAUAUUUAGGAAUUUUUGACCCCAAGUUUGGUAAGGUGAUUCCUUACACUCAUGUCCCAUUGGAUUUCCAUCAAUAUAUUUGAGCAGUGUACUACGGCUCUUCUCUGAAAUGACCAGUAGUUUCUACUCAGCUGAAACCAAGCUUAUCUUACCUUUCAAGAUAACCUAUCGAAAAGAGAUGCCAACUGCUCAUUUGCCCACAGUAAUUUGCAGUUUUUCACCCUAAUUUAUCCCCACUGUGAUUCUUUUUUUUUUUUUAACCUUAUGUUCUUUGUGUGUGCUAUUUAGGGGUUCAGGCCUGUUGCUCUGUUUGCUCUUUUUCUCUGUUUCUUGCUACUCUGUAAAGUGUCUUUGUGACAGUUCACUGUAGAAAGCGCUAUACAAAAAAAUUGAAUUGAAUUGAAUAUUAAUACUUUUUACCCUAUUUAGUGUUAAUGCGUGUGUGGCUAAACAUCUCUUAUUUUUUAAGUUUAUGUUUCAUAUUGUGAAUUAAAUUUAUUUGAGGAAGGUAUUGCGUCUUGUGAAAGGCAGAUUAUAAUGCGUAAACUUUCUUAACCUAUGUUUGAACAUAAAAUUGCAUUGUUAUAAUUAUUUGCCACUUAUGUGACCACACAUUCAAGCAGCUUCAAUGCCUUAUAUAUUUUUUUCUUUGAAGCCUCUCGUAAGUAUUCAUGCAUGCAUGCUUCCUGAAGCCUUUAUUUAAAAAAAGUUUUUUUUUUGAGUAUCUUACAAUUAAGUUAGA